GUAAUAUAUAAAACGUUAUAUAGAUAAAGAAAGUCAGCCGCUCUGCAUUAUCUACAGUGCAUCGACUCAAACCAAAACCUCCAAAUUCGAGGAGUUACGUCAGAUCUCGCAUACAUUUUAGGAAGUGUUUUGUGGUGUAACGCUUCCAUGUUUUAUGUCAGGGAGGAAGUCACACAGGAGCAGUUACACCCUGAUUGACCUCAUACAUAUUAUAACCUACAACAAACAACCACUGUCACAGGAUCCGACUACAGCCUCACCAUCUUUCAAACACUGCAGAGCAACAUCUCCUGUCCAUUAGGCUACUCCUUGGACUACAGCCCAUCUGUUUGGAGGUAAGAUGACUUCUCAAAGUGCGAAGACGUUGCUCACACUGGAUGCUGAAGCAGUCGCCUCACUCAAAGAGGGAAUCAAUUUCAAGAAAAGCCAAGAGGACGGGAAAUGUUACAUCAUAUACAAGAACAACGACGGCCUUAGAGCAUGCAAGAACCAAUGCAAACACCAAGGAGGGUUAUUCAUCAAAGACAUCGAAGACCUGGAUGGCAGGACUGUUAAAUGCACCAAACACAACUGGAAGUUGAAUGUGUCAUCAAUGAAAUAUGUAAAUCCACCAGACAGUUUCUUUCAGGACGAGCUUGGUGAGUUCUGCAAUUAUAGCAU